rnacentral:rRNA from 1 species
GACGAACCGUGCGAACGUUAUUCGGAAUCACUGGGCUUAAAGCGCGUGUAGGCGGGACGGCACGUCGGUCGCUGAAAUCCCCCGGCUCAACCGGGGAACGGGCGCCGAUACGACCGCCCUGGAGGGACGUAGGGGGACCUGGAACUUCCGGUGGAGCGGUGAAAUGCGUUGAGAUCGGAAGGAACGCCCGUGGCGAAGGCGACUACCUGGCCUGUUCUUGACGCUGAGGCGCGAAAGCUAGGGGAGCAAACGGG